AGCGAACGUUAGCGGCGGGCCUAACACAUGCAAGUCGAACGAGAAAACCUUCGGGUGAGUACAGUGGCGCACGGGUGAGGAACGCGUAGGUAAUCUACCCUCUGGCGGGGGACAACACUCCGAAAGGAAUGCUAAUACCGCGUAAGACCCCACCUACUAUGGUAGGAGAGGUUAAAGGUGCCCUUAAAGCACCACCAGAGGAUGAGCCUGCGUCCCAUCAGCUUGUUGGUGAGGUAAAAGCUUACCAAGGCGAAGACGGGUAGCUGGUCUGAGAGGAUGAUCAGCCACACUGGUACUGGAACACGGACCAGACUCCUACGGGAGGCAGCAGUGAGGAAUAUUGGGCAAUGGGCGAAAGCCUGACCCAGCCACGCCGCGUGUGUGAUGAAGGCCUUCGGGUCGUAAAGCACUGUGGGGAGGGACGAACCUACGCAGGAGGAAAUGCCUGCGUACUGACGGUACCUCCUUAGCAAGCACCGGCUAACUCUGUG
rnacentral:rRNA from 1 species